rnacentral:misc_RNA from 1 species
GAUGAAGAACGUAGCGAAAUGCGAUAAGUAAUGUGAAUUGCAGAAUCCAGUGAAUCAUCGAAUCUUUGAACGCACAUUGCGCCCGCCAGUAUUCUGGCGGGCAUGCCUGUCUGAGCGUCAUUUCAACCCUCAUGCCCCUAGGGCGUGGUGUUGGGGAUCGGCCAAAGCCCGCGAGGGACGGCCGGCCCCUAAAUCUAGUGGCGGACCCGUCGUGGCCUCCUCUGCGAAGUAGUGAUAUUCCGCAUCGGAGAGCGACGAGCCCCUGCCGUUAAACCCCCAACUUUCCAAGGUUGACCUCAGAUCAGGUAGGAAUACCCGCUGAACUUAAGCAUAUCAAUAAGCGGAGGA